rnacentral:rRNA from 1 species
AACGAACGCUGGCGGCAUGCCUAACACAUGCAAGUCGAACGAGAUCUUCGGGUCUAGUGGCGCACGGGUGCGUAACGCGUGGGAAUCUGCCCUUUGGUUCUGAAUAACAGUUGGAAACGACUGCUAAUACCGGAUGAUGACGAAAGUCCAAAGAUUUAUCGCCAGAGGAUGAGCCCGCGUAGGAUUAGCUAGUUGGUGUGGUAAAGGCGCACCAAGGCGACGAUCCUUAGCUGGUCUGAGAGGAUGAUCAGCCACACUGGGACUGAGACACGGCCCAGACUCCUACGGGAGGCAGCAGUGGGAAUAUUGGACAAUGGGCGAAAGCCUGAUCCAGCAAUGCCGCGUGAGUGAUGAAGGCCUUAGGGUUGUAAAGCUCUUUUACCCGGGAUGAUAAUGACAGUACCGGGAGAAUAAGCUCCGGCUAACUCCGUGCCAGCCGCCGCUGUAA